GGCCAUAGCUCCAUGGUAGAGCAUCUGCCUUGAAUGUAAUGGCUCCAGAGUUCAAUCCCUGGCAUCUCCA